GCCGGGCAUGGUGGCUCAUGCCUGUAAUCCCAGCACUUUAGGAGGCCAAGGCAGGUGGAUCACCUGAGGUCAGGAGUUCGAGACUAGCCUGGCCAACAUGGUGAAACCCUGUCUCUA
rnacentral:SRP_RNA from 1 species